rnacentral:rRNA from 1 species
CAAUAGCGUAUAUUAAAGUUGUUGCGGUUAAAAAGCUCGUAGUUGGAUUUCUGCUGAGAACGACCGGUCCGCCCUCUGGGUGUGUAUCUGGCUCUUUCUUGGCAUCUUCUUGGUGAACGUUGCUGCACUUGACUGUGUGGAGCGCUACCCAGGACUUUUACUUUGAGGAAAUUAGAGUGUUUCAAGCAGGCAUACGCCUUGAAUACAUUAGCAUGGAAUAAUAAGAUAGGACCUCGGUUCUAUUUUGUUGGUUUCUAGAGCUGAGGUAAUGAUUAAUAGGGAUAGUUGGGGGCAUUCGUAUUUAACUGUCAGAGGUGAAAUUCUUAGAUUUAUGAAAGACGAACUUCUGCGAAAGCAUUCGCCAAGGAUGUUUNCAUUGA